rnacentral:rRNA from 1 species
GUUAAAAAGCUCGUAGUUGGAGUUCUGCCAGGUGACGCUCGUCCGCCCAAGUGGUGUGUACAGGGCGUGCAUCUGGCCCUUUCAAGGGGAACGUGUCUGCACUUCAUUGUGUGGUGCGAGAUCCUUGACUUUUACUUUGAGGAAAUAAGAGUGUUCCAAGCAGGCUCUCGUCGUGCAUAGCUCAGCAUGGAAUAAUAGCAUUGGACUUCGUUUCUACGCUGUUGGUUGCAAGAAGCGAGGUAAUGAUGAAGAGGGAUAGUUGGGGGCAUUCGUAUUUAACUGUCAGAGGUGAAAUUCUUGGAUUUGUUCAAGACGGACUACUGCGAAAGCAUCUGCCAUGGAUGUUUUCAUUGAUCAAGAACGAAAGUUAGGGGAUCGAAGACGAUCAGAUACCGUCCUAGUCUUAACUAUAAACCAUGCCGGCUAGAGAUUGGAGGUCGUUCGAUUUGUGACACCUUCAGCAUCUUGAGAGAAAUCAAAGCCUUUGGGUUCCGGGGGGAGUAUGGUCGCAAGGCUGAAACUUAAAGGAAUUGACGGAAGGGCACCACCAGGAGUGGAGCCUGCGGCUUAAUUUGACUCAACACGGGGAAACUUACCAGGUCCGGACUUAGUAAGGAUGUACAGAUUGAUAGCUCUUUACAGAUUCUAAGGGUGGUGGUGCAUGGCCGUUCUUAGUUGGUGGAGUGAUUUGUCUGGUUAAUUCCGUUAACG